AACUCUAAAUUUCCUGAAAUUAAAUAUGCAUAACCACUGUAAGGUUUUUAAUGAACAAAACAGUUAAAUACAAACUUUCAUAUGCAAAAUAGUUUACUGUAGAACUGGCAACCUCUGAACCAAGUACUAAAUUUUCUCGCACAGAAAUCCGUAGGGGUGGAAUGGGGAGAUGUAAAUGCUAAUGAGUAUAAAACUUAAUUUCAACUUCAUAUAAAGGAAAAAAAAAAAACGUUGAGAAAAAACAGCUUUAAAUUGAAUAGUAUCUUUGAAAUCAACAGCUCAGGCCAGCCCUUACAUAUCUGAGGUUAAUAUACAACCAGAUUUGGGAUCAAAAUGAAGAUUUAGGGUUUACAGUUACUUCAAAUCCAGUUUUAA
rnacentral:lncRNA from 1 species